AGUGAACGCUGGCGGUAGGCCUAACACAUGCAAGUCGAACGGCAGCACAGUAAGAGCUCGCUCUUACGGGUGGCGAGUGGCGGACGGGUGAGGAGUACAUUGGCAUCUACUUUUUCGUGGGGGAUAACGUGGGGAAACUUACGCUACUACCGCAUACGACGCAUGGGAGAAAGCCGCCGCACUUUGGACCUUGCACGACUGAAUGAGCAGAUGUCGGAUUAGCUAGUUGGUGGGGUAAAGGCCCACCAAGGCGACGCCCCGUAGCUGGUCUGAGAGGAUGAUCAGCCACACUGGAACUGAGACACGGUCCAGACUCCUACGGUAGGCAGCAGUGGGGAAUAUUGGACAAUGGGCGCAAGCCUGAUCCAGCCAUACCGCGUGAGUGAAGAAGGACUGCGGGUUGUAGAGCCCUGUUGUUUGGAAAGAAAAGCAGCAGGUUAAUACCCCGCUGUUCUGACGGUACCCAAAGAAGAAGCACCGGCUAACUACGUG
rnacentral:rRNA from 1 species